CCUACGGGAGGCAGCAGUGGGGAAUAUUGCACAAUGGGGGAAACCCUGAUGCAGCGACGCCGCGUGAGUGAAGAAGUAUUUCGGUAUGUAAAGCUCUAUCAGCAGGGAAGAAAAUGACGGUACCUGAUUAAGAAGCCCUGGCUAACUACGUGCCAGCAGCCGCGGUAAUACGUAGGGGGCAAGCGUUAUCCGGAUUUACUGGGGGUAAAGGGAGCGUAGACGGCAGGACAAGUCUGGAGUGAAAUGCCGGGGCUUAACCCCGGAACUGCUUUGGAAACUGUGCAGCUGGAGUGCAGGAGAGGUAAGUGGAAUUCCUGGUGUAGCGGUGAAAUGCGUAGAUAUUAGGAGGAACACCAGUGGCGAAGGCGGCUUACUGGACUGUAACUGACGUUGAGGCUCGAAAGCGUGGGGAGCAAACAGGAUUAGAUACCCCAGUAGUC
rnacentral:rRNA from 1 species